rnacentral:rRNA from 1 species
GACAGAGGUGCCGAGCGUUUAGGCGGAAUCACUGGGCUUAAAGCGUGUGUAGGCGGGUCGUUAAGUGCCUUGUAGAAAUCCCACGGCUCCAACCGUGGAAACUUGCUGGGCAUACGUGCCGAUCUUGAGCCAGGCUAGGGGCAACCGGAACAAACGGUGGAGCGGUGAAAUGCGUAGAUAUCGUUUGGAACGCCAAUGGUGAAAACAGGGUUGCCUGGGGCUGUGCUGACGCUGAGAACACGAAAGGCCAGGGGAGCGAACGGG